ACAUUUACCUCACUGCUGCCCUGGGGAACUCUAAAUUGGAGGAUGGUGCUGGGUUUUUUUCUAGAUCUUCACCCUCAUGAGCAGCUUCUUGUGCCUGCUGAGAGUGUUCUGGUUUGAAUCAAGAGCGGAGACCCAAGACCUGGGCCACACGAAGAAAUGAAGGGAUGAUGAUGAUGAUGAUGAUGAUGAAGAUGAUGAUGAAGAUGAUAACUAAAACUGACUGAGAUAUACCAAGUGCCAAGUGCUCCUCUAGGUGCUUUACUGCUUCACUUCAUUUACUCCUCAGAAGUCUUUGAGUCCAAUUCUACUAUCCUUCAAGAUCCUACUUGGCCCAUGGACUUGCAGGACUUCCCUAACUCCAGCUCUCACUGAUCACACCCUCCCCUGAAGGACCACAGCACUGGUUAUACGUAACAUACAUUUUGCCACUUAGAAUCUAAGCAUCACUGAUUAUUAGAUCUGACUGGAUUUCAGAACUGGAGCUCAACAUAGGAAACUGGAGCUCAGGGAAAGUGACUUGCCCAAAGUCUUGUAGUUAGUUAGCAGAGCAUGGAGCAUCAAUAUUGCAACUCUAACUAGUUUUGGUAACCCAAAUUUACCAAACAUCUGAGUUAAAAUGGAACCAAGCCCUGACCCACUGAGAACCAGCAAUUGCAAAAUAGGCUUAUACCUUCUGUAAGACGAAGAAAGGACACUCAGAGGAGGGAGUUACAAAGUUGGCUUCUAUCAGAAUGUAUUAUCUAUAAGGCAAGAUACUCAGAACAAGAACAAGCAUCAUCUGGGGGGAAAGAUUAAGAUCAAAACCAUAAAAAUGUAUCUAUUUGGUCAGAGCCUACAAUUUGGACAGCUCUGCUGUAAUGAGCAAAGUCUCUGUACAACAAAGUUCCUGGCCUGCCAGACACUGCCCUUGAAUAGCACCACCUUGGAGAGCGUAUUCCAGUUGCUUGACCUCUGUCCUGAAUCAAGAUCAUUCCCUUGUAUGAGAGGACUUCAAAAAGUUCACAAAAAAUGGAAUUAAAAGAUAAAAAUAAAAAAUUAUAAACUGUAUUUCUCAACAUAAGCUCCAUCAAAUUCAAGACACUUUUGUAAGUGACGAUACCAGCCAUUUAGUCCAUCCCUAAAGAACUGAGGGUCCUAGGAAUUUAACCAUGUCAAUGCAGUCUUUUUACAUUAUUAGCUGAAGAAAAAUGGGUGCCUUUAAAGAUUUUUUAAGAUUAGGAAACAAAAAGAAAUCAGAGGGAGCCAAAUCAGGACUGUAAGGUGGAUGCCUAAUGAUUUCCCAUUGAAACUCUCACACAAUUGCCCACAUAAGAAUGAGCAGGAGCACUGAUGAGAUGGAGAAGGACUCUCUGGUAAAGUUUUUCUGGGCAUUUUCCUGCUAAAUCUUUGGCUAACUUUCUCAAAAAAUUAUUGGAAGAAGCAGAUGUUAUCAUUCUUUGAGCCUCCAGAAAGUUGACAAGCAAAAUGCCUUGAGCAUUCCCUCAAACACUGUUGCCAUGAUUUUUGCUCUUGACCAGUCACUUUUGCUCUGACUGGACCACUGCCACCUCUUGGUAGCCAUGGCUUUGAUUGUGCUCUGUCUUCAGGACUGUACUAGCAAAGCCAUGUAUCAUCACCUGUUACAAUUGUUUGAAGAAAUGUUUCAUGAUCUUGAUCCUACUUGUUUAAAAUGUGUAUUGAAAGCUCUGCUCUUGUCUGCAGCUGGCUUGGGUGCAACAGUUUUGGCAACCAUCAAGCAGGAAGUUUGCUCAAUUGUAAUUUUUUAGUCAGAAUUACAUAAGUUGAACCAGUUGAGAUAUCUAUGAUGUUGGCUAUUGUUUCUGCUAUUAAUUGUUGGUCCUCUUCAGUCAGGGUAUGAACAAGAUUAACUUUUUCCUUGAAUAUUGCUGUGGAUGUUCUGUUGCUGUGGGCUUCAUCUUCAACAGCCUCUCAUCCCUUCUUCAAAUGAAUUAUUCAUUUGCAAACUCCUGAUUUCUUCGGGGCAUUGUCCCCAUAAACUUUUCAUAAAGCAUCAGUGAUUUCACUAUUCUUCCACCUAAGCUUCAACCAUAAAUUUGAUGCUUGUUCUUGCUUCAAUUUUAGCAGAAUUCAUGUUGCUCUGAUAGGGGUUCUUCUCAAACUGAUGUCUCAUCCUUCUUAGUGCCCCAAACUAGAUCCUGUUCAGACAUGUUAUAACUAAUUAGUAUGAGUUUAUUUUGGUGCAAAAAGUUUUUGAAAGUCAUGGAUGUUUUUUCAUAAUAUGUACUUUCCAUGAACUUUUUGAAGACCCUUCAUAUUUUCAACCUUAGCUCAGCUGAGAAGAUAACUGAAUCAUUAGAGUAGUUGAGUAAAAAUUAUACCCAAAGCAAAGAAUUAAAAACCUGAGAAAUUAACAAUUAGAAUGUAAACAAAGAAAAAGAAGAAUCACAUUAAGUAAGUGAUGACUUUCUUUUACGACUGUAGUGUAUCUAAACUGAUAAGUUUUGUAAUUAUCAAAUUAUUGUCAAUUUAUUUGCUAAGGCAAUUAAAGCAAUUAGAAUUGUGAAGACUUUAAUUGCUUAAGUGUGCAAGAAAUAUUUACUCGUUAGGAAAAUCUAGUUAGUUAAGUGAUUUAAGACAUUUUUGAGUUAUUAUUUAGUAGCAUGUGAAUGUUUUCAAAAUGUUAAUUGCUCAAAAAUUAGUAAAUUGGAUAUCAAACUAAGUAGGAAUCAUUGUGAACACUUUUUUCCAUUCCCCAACAUCCCUUGGACAUGAGAAGCCUUGACUCCGCCCAGUUCCUAACUCCAAGGCUGGUCACCCCAGCGCCUCCCUCGAUCAUGCCGACCUUGCGUUGCUCUCUGUUUCUUUCAUGCAUGUUCCUUUCCUAUCACAGAAGCAGAGAUGCAGCAUCCUCUCUUCUUUUUCCUUCACUGCUCAAAGCAACCCCAAAUUAUCUUUACAUUUUAAAUUAAUUGCAUCUCACAGAAUUGAAUGGGACUUUUAAUCUAAUGACAGCAACAGGCCAGGUGAAUCAGGCACAGCUCUUGUCAAGAAACAUCUCUGAGGACAUGACAAAAAAAGGGAAAGUAUUUCCAUAGCCAGAGAAGGGAGAUUGUCAACACACUCACCUGGAAUAUACUGUGCUUCAGGAUGAUGCUGGCGGUCAGGUUUCCCAGAAGUGAUACUGAAAGAGGUGCUUAUGGCCGCCUCCAGAACGGUUUUAAUAGAUCAACAGAGGGAGGAAGACAUGACCAACCAAGGGAGCCUAGGAGUCAUGCCUCCAGCCUCUCCUUCCUCACCGUUUGCAGCCCCUCAGCCCUUCACUCAGGACAGACAAGUAUCAGGUAUGAGGAAAGCCUGAGAAGGGAGACAGAGCAAAGGUCAAGGGUGCGGUGCGCUUGGUUCGGAGAAUAAAGCAAAGGGAGAAACUUGGCAAAGGCUGAUUUGGGAAAAAGAGCUCCUGGGAUGGCUAAUGCUUACAACCGUAAAGGUGACAACUAGGAUUUUAUUCAAAAGCCAGUCGGAACUGAGGCUAAUGGGGAGGAAAGGCCCGUGUGGUCAGAAAAGAAAAGAAGAGGAGUAGUUUGAACCACACGGGGAAGAAAGCUGUGGAGUCAGUGAGAGCAAAAGCACACCCGGAAGAUGUGGGAAAGAAAAGAGCCCCAGGAGGAUGCCUCGCCCGAGCAGUAGAAAUGUGGCAAAGGGGCCCUUUGGCCACCAGGCAAUUCAGGAUCAGAGAUGACUAAGACAUUGCCUGGCAUGUGGGUGUAGACUGAGGUGAAAACCUGAGGUGAGAAAAAGCAUUUGAGCCACUUGCAUAAAGCAAGUGAAAAGUAUAAGAAGGUAAGGUUUUCCAGAAUAUUAACAUUUGGGACAAAACAUUGGCCUUAGUGUCAAGAAGGGUUUCUACACGCAUUGCAAGACCCAUUGAAAGUUAAUCCUUCUGUGGUAGAAAAAGCUGUCCCUUUAUUUGUACAGUCUCUUAUUUUGCACUUAGGGGAAAACACAGCGAUGUGAAUCAUCCUGUGACUUCCAUCCCUGGUGAACAGGGUCGUGUUUGGGAGAACCCGUAGACUUGAAAGCAGCAAGCAUUUAAAAAGGCGCUAACUGAAGUAUGUAUUUCGAAACAAAUUUUUUUUUCAUCCAGACUGAAUCAGUAGACGUUAACCACAGCAGGAGAGGCUGAUGUGGGAGGGAUGGGUGAGAGCAGAAAUACAAAUACCAGUAAUAGCUGACUGUACCGAGCACCAUGUGCACGCCAGGCAUUGCCUUAAGCAUGUUGUAUACAUUGUGUCAUUUAAUCCUCCCAACAAUCUGCCUUGUGAGAUAGUACUAUUACUUAAAAGUGAGGAGCCUUGGGCACAGAGCAAUGUAGUAACUUGCCCUAGGGCCCAGCAGUGCUGGGGUUGUAGUGCAGGUCUGUCUGACCCCAGCACACAGCUGAGGAUGGGGUGAUGGGCAGACAGCAUUGCAUCAAGACCUGAGAGAGGACCACAGACCGAGGCUGCAGCCUUAAACCAUGACGUGCUCCAUGAUGUGCUGAACAUGGGGAGAGGAUGCACAGUAUGCACAUCAGUGGUACAUUAGUGGCUGUACCACUUAUUGGCUACCUGAGACAUCUUGCUUUUCUGUUAUUUACAUUGUGUCUUGUCCCCGCAACCUGACCAACAGCUCCCGAAGACGGGGACUGUCUUGUGAGUGUCUAGCCUCCUGCUUGGUACCUAUUGCACUCAGAAGCCCGUCAGUGAAAACACAGCUGAUUAGUCCUUUCUAGCCUCUUGCUCAACCCUCUUUGUGAGUGAAGGACAGUCAGACCCUGAACAUUUUAAAAAAGUGAUAAACCAAUUUUGUAAACACUCGACUGGGAAUUUUCUAAAUGCCCUACCAGUAGAAUGAAUUUAAUGAUGCCCCCAAAUUUUAAUAAAACUUUUUUCAUGCUGUCUUCAGGUCAAUGUUUAAUUUAAAAUUUUACACUAAACUUUUUAAAAAUUUUUCUUUUGUAUUUAAAUUGUCAUUCUAUUGAGGCGGUUAAAAUGUAUCAUCUGCCUAUCAAAAUACCGUCUUGGGGCAAUCAGACUAUCCUAAAAGUUAUUUUUUGCUUUAAAGAAAAAAGGGCUCCAGAAUUGUCCUUAGAUUUUCUGUUGGAAUAACAUGUUGAUGAUACAAUACUGAAAAUGUAGUCAAAGGAGAGAGAGAGAGAGAGAGAGGGAGAGAGAAGAGAGAGAAGAGGGAGAGAGAAAAGAAAAUACUCACAGGAUAAUGCUAAAAUACUAAUCUUUCCUUGUUGUGCACCUGAGAGUAUAGAACUGACCCUACCAGGGUCUGGAAUGGUUGAAAUGCUGACAACAGUUGAUGACUUUCUGAUCAGAUUCCAUUGUCACUCUUGCCCAGUACUGAAAUGGGUAAAGGACAACAAAUCAUCCCACCUUUAGCAAUAACUAAAUGGACAAAGGACAACAAACGGAUAAAGGAUAAAACAUAACAAAUCUUCCUACCUUUAGCAAUAACUAGAAUGACAUCUUUCCAGUUGAUGGGAUAUCCUUCCCCCAGCGCGAUGCUGCUUGGAAAGGUGGAACUGCAAAGCCCCUCGGCUCCAGAGAGUAGAAGUUAGUCUGGGCAUCGUAUAUCUCAGAGGGGGGAUAAAAAGGGUUCCUGAGGGAAGCUUGGGCAGCAGUGGUGAAUCAACUAUUGUCGUAGCUGACUUCAGCGAAGUCCAGCUUUAGGAAAACCUCCAUUUUGUGCAAACUGAUCAAAUACAGAUGUUUCCAGGGAGCUGACCCUAGUGACCGAGACUUCACUAGAGAUUGAACGGCGGACAGCUGGUCAGUAGUGGGGUGAAGGCAUGUUUUGGUGGGAGAGUGUAAAUGUACAUACAGUUGACAGGAUGUGAAUGACACUAGACAAACAUCUGCUAUAUUGACAAAUAUAUGUUUUACUUCUAAAAAGUCUUAUACCAGGGAGAUGUAGUGAAAAAUAAAUACAGUUUCAGGCUUUGCUAGAUGUCUCAUGUGCAUGUCAAACUCUGAAAGAAAUGAAGGGCAAAAAAAUAUUAAAAAUGGGUUCAACCUUCCGUCUUCCUGAAAUAUCAGAUUUCAUAUAAAACUCAUCAGCUGAGCUAAGUAUUAGGCUUGAUCAAUGGCAGGAAACUAAGGGAUCAAAUGCUAAUAAAUCAGAAACAGAUAUCCUCUCUCAAGCAGAAAAUAUAUCACAAAACUGAAAACGAGAAAAUCAUCUGAUGAUUUUUUAAUGCACGCGCAUGGAGAAAAUGAACUUUUGGGGAGGGACGCUGCACCUUAAACAGGGACGAAGAGUAAUAUCCUUAAAGAACUUAAUCUGACUUUGAUGUUAACAUAUUCAAAAGAAACAAGAAAGAUCCAGCUAUUUGGUGAAGAAUGAAUACUGAGGAGUAACUAAGUGUUUGUGGUUGUGCAGAUAUUAAAAUGGCAAAGUAAACACAUUCAAAUCUUGCUAGUAAUAUUUCACUAGAGGUUUUUGCGCAUUUUCUCUCUUUUGGAAUUAUAUAUACAGCCCUCAGCCCUAACCCCUCUGCCUUUUAAAAAUGUAUUGUCCCACAAUUCCAUUCCCUUACUUCCUUAGUAUUCUUUCUUAUUCAUUUUCAUUUUGUAGAGUAAAUGUUUUAUUGAAAUAAAACAUAUAUACAGAAAAAUGCACAAAUCCUAAGUUCACAAAUUCUUACGCUCAAUGACUUUUCAUAAGGCAGACACACCUGAUGUAACAAGCACCAGCUUGAGAGACAGAACAUUACCAGCAGCCCAGAAACUUGUGGCUGAUUGCUGCUCUGCUAACUGCUACCCACGAACCACUAGAAAUUAGUGUUGUCUGUUUUUGAGCUUUAUA